UACAAGAAAGGUUUUGUUCAUCGAUUUUCUUAAAUGGAAAAGUUUUAAAGGAUGAGGGUAAGUGAACGGCGAGCUUUUCUGAUUCUGAUUACUGUUAUCAAGAGGUAGAUUCCAGAAGCGAUGGACGCUCUACGUAGUUAGAUGAAUUGGAUAGAAGCCGGUGCGGUUAAAAAUACACUUGGAAGAUAAGAACACAGCUAUUAAUUACGCACAUACACACGUUAAUAAAGCAUGUGAAGUAAGCAAAUAAACUACAGUGCAGAGAAUGGCGUUUUUAACGACGGCGAUCUAUUUUAAAACUUAAUGAAGUUCACAUUUUGUGGACUGGUCUUAGAAAUAAGUAAACUUCAGAAAUAACACGCAUACAAUUCCAGUGAGAACCCAAAAGGUUUAUGGAAGAAGAAAAUCGCAACCACUUCCAAGGCGCUAUUGUUAUGAUCACAUGAAGAAUGGCAGGCACAGCCUUCUUUCACCACUUGAACUUUCAAUAGCUACAAAGUCUUGCAGUUACAGGCUUGUGCCAACUCGUCGGGCCACACCACGUUCCCCUCCCCCUGCCGCUGCGCCCCGAAAUCAACUGCGCGCCGCGGCUCUUGCUCCCCAAGGGGGCUUCGCAGAUGGUACGGAUCCUAGUCGCAACCUUUAAACAAAGUAACAUCGGGCGGCCCAGCAGUUCUCGGAGAGAUAUUUACUAGUCAUGGAGUUGGCUGAGAAAAGCAAGUGCGGAGAUCGGGGUCUCAGUCCCACUUAGGCCGAGUUUCUUUAUAUUGGAAACUGUACCUGUUCCCUAAUUGGGACUAAGACCACUAAUAAGUCCACGUUCCCUCUUUGGUCGCUUCUCUAAGUACAGACAUCUGCUUAAGAGGCUUCACGAAGAAUAAAUGCACAUGGGUCAACACCCAUUCCCCCCGCACCACUACCACCACCUGGAAAAGUGGUAAGCUGCAUCGGGGCAGAAAUGGACUCCUUCAUUAGCC
rnacentral:lncRNA from 10 species